GGGGCGGUAGCUCAGUUGGGAGAGCACGGGCUUUGCAAGCCCGGGGUCGAGGGUUCGAACCCCUUCCGCUCCA
rnacentral:tRNA from 1 species